AUCGCUUCUCGGCCUUUUGGCUAAGAUCAAGUGUAGCAUCUGAUCCUCGUGCACGUACAAGUUUGAGAAGCGCGGCUUGGACCAGUGGUUUUCAAGCGCCUUUUAGGUGCAGAGCUCCUCCUUGGAAGGAAAUCUCUGGAUUCUGCAGACUUGUGUAAAACAGGUCAAAAUGGGGUGCCCAGG